rnacentral:rRNA from 1 species
UACGUAGGGGGCAAGCGUUAUCCGGAUUUACUGGGUGUAAAGGGAGCGUAGACGGCAGUGCAGGUCUGGAGUGAAAGGCGGGGGCUCAACCCCCGGACUGCUCUGGAAACUGUACGGCUGGAGUGCAGGAGAGGUAAGUGGAAUUCCUAGUGUAGCGGUGAAAUGCGUAGAUAUUAGGAGGAACACCAGUGGCGAAGGCGGCUUACUGGACUGUAACUGACGUUGAGGCUCGAAAGCGUGGGGAGCAAACAGG